rnacentral:rRNA from 1 species
CGAACGCUGGCGUUCCUGGUUACACAUGCAAGUCGAGCGAGGUCCAUCCUGUCGCAAGACAGGGGAAGACCUACCGGCGAACGGGUGAGUAACACGUGAGCAACCUGCCCCGAAGACCGGGAUAACACCAGGAAACCGGUGCUAAUACCGGAUACCCUCAACGGACCGCAUGAUCCGAUGAGGAAAUGGAUUCCGCUUCUGGAGGGGCUCGCGGCCUAUCAGCUUGUUGGUGGGGUAACGGCCUACCAAGGCUCCGACGGGUAGCUGGUCUGAGAGGACGACCAUCCACACUGGGUACUGAGACACGGCCCAGACUCCUACGGGAGGCAGCAAUGGG